GGAAGCUGGACAAAGCUGGUCCACAGCCCCGCAACAGGAGGGACCACAUUGGGAGCAAAACAGUUAAUCUGACUCCAUGGUUGGGGUCUGGAUCAGAAAUACCAUUGGACCCUUGGACAUGACAGACCUCUCAGCUGCGAAGAGACCUUUAUCUAUUCUCCCUUCUUCUUGCCCAUUGUGGUAUCUGGUGGUAAGCCCAGCUCCUGACCCAAUGCUCCAGACAAAUGUAUGAAGCGUGAUGGAUUAUGGGAAAGGAAUUUUGGAAAAUGAAUCAUCUUGUGCGGUCAGAACUGGCUAAGAUUGGAAGAAUCUACAAGGU